rnacentral:rRNA from 1 species
GAUGAACGCUGGCGGCGUGCCUAAUACAUGCAAGUCGAGCGAACACACGAGGAGCUUGCUCUUCUGACGUUAGCGGCGGACGGGUGAGUUACACGUGGAUAACCUACCUAUAAGACUGGGAUAACUUCGGGAAACCGGAGCUACUACCGGCUAAUAUAUUGAACCGCAUGGUUCAAUAGUGAAAGACGGUUUUGCUGUCACUUAUAGAUGGAUCCGCGCCGCAUUAGCUAGUUGGUAAGGUAACGGCUUACCAAGGCAACGAUGCGUAGCCGACCUGAGAGGGUGAUCGGCCACACUGGAACUGAGACACGGUCCAGACUCCUACGGGAGGCAGCAGUAGGGAAUCUUCCGCAAUGGGCGAAAGCCUGACGGAGCAACGCCGCGUGAGUGAUGAAGGUCUUCGGAUCGUAAAACUCUGUUAUUAGGAAAGAACAAAUGUGUAAGUAAAUAUGCACGUCUUGACGGUACCUAAUCAGAAAGCCACGGCUAACUACGUG